rnacentral:rRNA from 1 species
GAUCCUGGCUCAGGAUGAACGCUGGCGGCGUGCCUAAUACAUGCAAGUCUAACGCGCAGCGAGAGGUGCUUGCACCUUUCAGGCGAGUGGCGAACGGGUGAGUAACACGUGGAUAACCUGCCUCAAGGCUGGGGAUAACAUUUGGAAACAGAUGCUAAUACCGAAUAAAACUUAGUAUCGCAUGAUAUCAAGUUAAAAGGCGCUACGGCGUCACCUAGAGAUGGAUCCGCGG